rnacentral:rRNA from 1 species
UGGGGAAUAUUGCACAAUGGGCGCAAGCCUGAUGCAGCAACGCCGCGUGAACGAUGAAGGUCUUCGGAUCGUAAAGUUCUGUUGCAGGGGAAGAUAAUGACGGUACCCUGUGAGGAAGCCCCGGCUAACUACGUGCCAGCAGCCGCGGUAAUACGUAUGGGGCGAGCGUUGUCCGGAAUUAUUGGGCGUAAAGGGUACGUAGGCGGUUUUUUAAGUCAGGUGUCAAAGCGUGGAGCUUAACUCCAUUAAGCACUUGAAACUGAAAGACUUGAGUGAAGGAGAGGAAAGUGGAAUUCCUAGUGUAGCGGUGAAAUGCGUAGAUAUUAGGAGGAAUACCGGUGGCGAAGGCGACUUUCUGGACUUUUACUGACGCUCAGGUACGAAAGCGUGGGGAGCAAACAGG